UUCCUUUAGGAGGUUCAGUGCUUGUUGGUGUUUCAGAUGAUGGCUUGUGCUUUGAAGUGACUGGUGAUGGCCUGACGGACCCUGCAAAGGUGAGUGGUAAACUGCAUUAGACAUAAAUUUCUAUUGUCUGCUCAUUUAGUUGUUCAGAUUCUUCUUGUCAUUUGCUGAACAAAUUUGAAGAGCAUGUAUAUGAAUAUGUUAUAUCACUGAAUGAAAGCCAAUUUCAUCCAUAACAGUUAAGAACUAGACAUGAAUUGCAGUAGUAUGUAUAACACCAAAAUACAUGUGACGCUGACAGGGAAACAGAUAGUGCAUAAUAUAAUUGCUACACGGAUUCGGUUCAGAGAGGAAUAUAUAUACAUAACCCAGAGGGAAGACAGUGGCACAGGGGUGUCAUUCGUCCUUAAAACAAAGAUACACUGAAUGGUCGGUAUUUGGAGGUCUAAUCACAUCUGCAGGAAACCACUGAGCCUGGUACGGUAUACAUUCUUUAACUACAGGUAUCCAGCUAUAAAAUUGAUGUGCAGAAGAACAGGACGUAUUGGGGGAUUGCAGAUUUUGGAUCUGUAUACUCCUGCAUUGUAUUUAAUUUGUUUCUUAAUUGUUUGAUCUGUUUGCCGACAUGGCUCCUAAUAAUCCUUUUCUAUGCUAUCAGAUUGAACAGUACAAAACAUGCUAAUUCCUUAUUUCUCUUUGCAAUCAGUGGCAGGAGCAUCUUGUGAUUCUUACCAGAUUCCCUGGGAGGCGCUUCAUUCUGGCUUGGGGCCUUCUUCACAACCGUGACCUCCCUGGCCUCCAGCCUCCGGGGAGGCAUCUUCUUCUCAGGCUUGAAACACCCAAAGCAGCUCAUCAUCUCCCAACUAACGCACAGACAAAUCUGCAGACCUCGUUGUGUGGACAAUGGGAGCAUGGGUGGGUGUCUAUAUGCCGCAUCAUCAUCAUCCUCCUCCCUCCUUGUGCUGAAGAUCUCGCAUACAGGCAAUCGAUCGGGUGUUGGUGCUUUGUGCGCGGUAAAUGUGAUCUCUGUGGGGAAAUGUGGUCAGAUGGGAUGAGCAUUUGCUUCAUGCCUUUGCGCGGAGGAGGAUUUGCUGAGCCAAGAAUAGGCUCCUGGGGGUCCUAAACUUAGAAGUGCUUCGCGUCUUCCAGGAUCUGUGUCCCAGCUAACGCGCUGGAUGUAAUGUCUUCCCUUGGAGAGUCCCAACUCCAUCUAGGAAGAAAACACCGCUGGAUUGUUUCUUUUUGAUAGAAAUGUCAAUGUCAAUUACAUUGGAACACGUUGGGUUUUUACUCGGUGAUAAACUGGCCACCAGUUGAGUUGAGCUUGAUAAGCUCAAAGCCUGAUUUUGGUCGGUGUCGGUUUUAUGUG